AUUUAGGUAGUUUAAUAAAAAUAUAGGAUUGUGGAUUCUAUGAAACUGUUUUAGUUCUAAGUU
rnacentral:tRNA from 1 species